UGGAGUUUUGAUAUUCGAACAAGUGAAUUUAGACAAAGAUUGUAAAGGCAGCGAAAUAGUCUUUACAAUCUUUGAGACAUAUAGUUUCGAACUUCAAGGAUUCAAAAUAGUAAUCAAGUCAGCGAAAUAGGCUUGGUUGCUAGAGGAACAAAAGAGAAAUUGUCUUUAGAAGUUAGGUCUAACAUAAAGUUAUAAGUUUAAUAGUUUGGUUUG
rnacentral:lncRNA from 1 species